UACGGAGGGUGCGAGCGUUAUCCGGAUUCACUGGGUUUAAAGGGUGCGUAGGUGGGUUGGUAAGUCAGUGGUGAAAUCCCCGAGCUUAACUUGGGAACUGCCAUUGAUACUAUCAGUCUUGAAUACUGUGGAGGUCAGCGGAAUAUGUCAUGUAGCGGUGAAAUGCUUAGAUAUGACAUAGAACACCAAUUGCGAAGGCAGCUGGCUACACAAAUAUUGACACUCAGGCACGAAAGCGUGGGGAUCAAACAGG
rnacentral:rRNA from 1 species